rnacentral:rRNA from 1 species
AACGAACGCUGGCGGCAGGCCUAACACAUGCAAGUCGAGCGCCCCGCAAGGGGAGCGGCGGACGGGUGAGUAACGCGUGGGAAUAUGCCCUUUGCUACGGAAUAGUCUCGGGAAACUGGGGGUAAUACCGUAUACGCCCUUUGGGGGAAAGAUUUAUCGGCGAAGGAUUAGCCCGCGUUGGAUUAGGUAGUUGGUGGGGUAAUGGCCUACCAAGCCGACGAUCCAUAGCUGGUUUGAGAGGAUGAUCAGCCACACUGGGACUGAGACACGGCCCAGACUCCUACGGGAAGCAGCAGUGGGGAAUCUUAGACAAUGGGGGCAACCCUGAUCUAGCCAUGCCGCGUGAGUGAUGAAGGCCUUAGGGUUGUAAAGCUCUUUCAGCUGGGAGGAUAAUGACGGUACCAGCAGAAGAAGCCCCGGCUAACUCCGUG